rnacentral:rRNA from 1 species
UACGUAGGGGGCAAGCGUUAUCCGGAAUUACUGGGUGUAAAGGGAGCGUAGACGGUUAGGUAAGUCUGGAGUGAAAGGCGGGGGCCCAACCCCCGGACUGCUCUGGAAACUAUCGGACUAGAGUGCAGGAGAGGUAAGCGGAAUUCCUAGUGUAGCGGUGAAAUGCGUAGAUAUUAGGAGGAACACCAGUGGCGAAGGCGGCCUGCUGGACUGUAACUGACGUUGAGGCUCGAAAGCGUGGGGAGCAAACAGG